UCCGUAUCGUGUUGUCUAUAAGGACAUCUCCUGGACUAGUCGAUUCAUUUCCUUCCCUCCUCUCCUAGCCCCUCUAAAUUCAUCACCUCCCCUAACGUGGUGGAGGGAAAACAUCUGGCGAGGAGUUAAAAUGAACACAGUGAUGGGAAGAGAAAAAAUGAUGUUUUAACUCUGCAGCCAAGGAACCUGUUCCUGUAAACAGCCCCCUUUCUUAGUCUAGCGCUUAUGGGAAUCUUCCGGACAGAGGAAUUCACAGCAGCAAACUCACAGAUCUGUCCCUCAGGCUGCAGACAAGAGAUGUGUUUGCUUAGAGUGUUUGCGGAAGCUGAAUAAGAGGCAGGAUCUUUUCUUUAUCCUCUGAAUAGACACUGAGGAAUCCAAGAAUGUACAGGAGGAGAAAAUGCCAUCUUAUUAGCAAGUUUUGCUCUUCCUAUUUAACCAGCAUCCGAGGUGCUCUGUGGAAAGGCAUAUAGAUUAUCAUCUGGGGAGCUUUCCAAGCUGUCUACAAAAAGAAACGAAAGGAGGAGAAGACAACGAGCCAGAUCAGGCUGGCCGUCUUAGCCCGGCAACCGCUUUUCAUCCCUUAACCACACAGGGUCCGUGCUGAGACGAGAUCCAGCAGUAUCGCCAGGGUUCCUCGUAGACGAUCAGGUUUCCAGACACUGCGUUUUCUUGGACCUCAUCUCUCGUCAGUUGCCACCACUGGCUGAGUGUAUAAUGGAACUUUGAAUCCGUUUGCUGUACUAAUGGGGAGUGCACGUGAGUGAUGGGACGGUCUCCCCAGAGGCCAUGCAUUUCUGCAUCUGAGAUUAUCUGAUCAAAGUAAAAAAUACCUGCAUGGUCACCCCUACUCCCUAUGAUCAAUUGUAGCUAAUGACACAUUUCAUGGCUUGUCUCCUGUCCUAAAUAUGGCAAUAAAUAACUGGACUAGGAACUGAUUUAAAAGUCUCUGGAAAAGCAUCAGCACAGAGUCCCUGUGAACUACUGUUUUAAGCCUCACGACAGAGGCUUUCUCUCAGUUUACUCCAUGCCCCUUAUGGUUUAAACAAUUGCAGUUGCUACCUCCUUGGAUCUUCAGCAAAUAUCCAUAAAUGCGGGAUUGUUAUCUGAAAUAAACCCAAGCCUGAAACAAAAGGAAAAGUUUCGUUGUGGAUAAAGUCAUAUUGAGAUUCCUAUUAUAAACCAAGAGGAGGUAUUGAGUAGAGAGGUGGAAGUUCUAGGAAGAGCAAAGAAUGGAAUUGGAAUAGCCCCAUGCAGACAAGGCCCAGGUAGAAGAGGGAAAGAUGGCAAUGCCAAGGUCUGCUACAACCCAGCCAUGAUUGUCGGCUGUAGUGCCGGAAGCACAGACAACAGAAGCAGAUAUAGACAAAGGGGAUUGCAUCAAACUGAAGAUGUUCUGCCCCGCGAUGGAAACAAUCAACAGAGUUAAAAGGCAGCCUAAUAAACAGAGAAAAAUCUUUGCAAAUUGUACGUCCGGUAAUGUAUGAGUAUCCAAAAUAUAAGAGGAAUCCCUAUACUUUAAUAUCAAAAAUCCAAAAUUAUCAGAUUAAAUAAUGGGCAAAGUACUUGAACAGACAUUUUCCUAAAAAGAUAUACGAGUAACUAAAGGUAUAUAAAAAAAUCAUCAACAUUGCUAAUCAUCAGGGAAAAGCAAAUCAAAACCCCAAUACAUCAUCACCUUAUAGCUAGAAUGGCUGUUAUCAAAGAGACAAAAGUUAACAAGUAAGAAUGUGUUUGUGCUUUGGUUUGUUUUUUUGAGUUCUCUAUUCUGGAGGGAGAACAUCAGAGUGGGAAAGGCAAGGUUGUCUAGUGUAGAUUUGUAUUGAUCUGUGGCUCUACCAAUUAUCUCUGCUAUGGCCUUGAGCGAGACAUUGAACUGCCUAGUUCCUCAUGUAUAAAAUGGGUACAUAGUAUCCACUCUGCAGGUAGGAUAAAAUGUACAUAAGGUAUAGAGGUCUAGAAUAAAUGUGGUGCUAGAUAAAAUGUAACUGAUAAAAGUUAUUGUUUAUUGAAUGCUUACUACGUGGCAGUUACUGUCUUAAUAAUUUACAAAUAUUUACUCUCUUAUUCUUCAUAACAACUCUCUCACAUGCAUACUGUUGUAAUUGCCAUUUUACAGAAGAAGAAAUCGAGAUUCAUAGAGGAAAUGCGACUUCCUUUUAACUAUACAACUAAGGUGGUAAAAUUGGUUUUCAAACUCAGGCAGUCUUUCAAAGUCUUUGAAAUCUACCCAUACUGUUAAGUUCUAGCAUCUUUUUGGCUUCUAUCAUCUGUGCCUAUGCCUGCCUUGGUUUCAAAUUGCAGUAAUCUAAAAGUCAGCAAGAAGACAAAGAGAGGAAUUUGUGUUUAUUCUCAAGGAAAAAAAGACUUUUAAGAAUGCCAAUGUGUUUUUAUAAUGUAAGACAUUCAAUGAGAUGGGGUAUACUCAUAGUUUGAAAACUGCAAGUUUUAUUUUAAGUCGUGAAACAGAUGCAUUUAAAAUUUCAGACUUGGAAAAUGAAACUUUGAAGCAGGGAAAUUGUUCCUGUGUACAGCAAUGAAAAGGAAUCAGGGAGAGUUAAAUAAAGCCGUGAAAAAUUAAAAGUAUAAUGCUUAAUGUUUGCGGGAGUAAUCCUUAGCCUUCAUGGUGUAAAUACAGGCACAAAAAGCAAAUCAGAAUUAUAGAAAUGCAAAAGAAAGUAUAGUCACUUUAGUAAAAAAUAAUCAGGUACUAUGUUAAUUUCACAGGCCAGCACAGAAUUUCCAGAGAGUUCUUGAAUUUUUAAAGAUGUUUACAAGGAGGAGCUAAAAGGUCUAAAAUCUGUAUCCUCUUAGUAUUCCACUGAGGCUGUGGGUGCAUGAAAUAACGAGUUAGAACUCUGCAGGAACUGCUUUGUGGCAAUUGCGAAGCAUAAAGCAUAUUUAAUUAAAUUAAGUAAUCUCUAUUUAGAUGAAAAUAAAUCAUUUUAGUGCUGACUGUUUUUAAUGAUUCAGGCUGUCACUCAAAAACAGACAGGAAGCUGAUAAAGUACUUAGAACUCCACUUACAGUGCUUUUAUAGCAAAACACUAAUGGGAUUUUUCUUGCCAGGGAAAUGCCAUAUUUUAUUAAUAAAUGAUUCUGAAACACUCACAAUAAUUACUAACAUAUAUCACAAAAUUUUCUAAAAAGGUGGAAAAGAUACUUUAAAGACAUAAGCAUGUUUAAAAGGAUAAAAACACCUUUAGAGUAUUUUAAAAAUUAAGAUUAUUUAAUCCACACAUAGGCAAACUUCAGUAUGAACAUUGAUAAGGACGAGAAGAGAUCUUUACUAAAAUCUCUCUUUUCAUUGUGAGGUAACUAGACCUCUCUUUUGGUUUUCAGUAGUACUAGCAGCCAUCAGGAAGGAUUUGGGGCAGGUGGCAGAGUUAGAAGCCCCAGGAGUCAAAUCUCCCCAUCUACAUAGCAGUUGCUCUGGCAGAGUCUGUCUCAUGUAGGUACUUUGGCAUGCUGGAUUCUAUUGAAGGCUUGCAAAUUCCAGGGGAAGGUGGACCACAAAUUAUGAUGUUUCUUUUAGCCCUUAGAACAGUAGCCGCUAUCCUACUAUCCUAUCCAUUCCCUACCAUCCUAUCCUAUCCAUUCCCAUUCCCCACUCAGGGUGGGCAAAUAGGAUCCUGCCUCCUGAACAUCACGGGAUCAUGGAACUGUGUUCUAAUCACUGAUUGCUUCACUGAUCACUGAAGUUCAAACAAAGGGGUGGGCAGCAAUUGCUGUUGUAUUUGCUGCCAUUGUUGAAAAUCCCUCCUAUUUUGACUAAAGUGACUGCAAGGGGAAUUAAAGGGCCAGUAACCUUUAUUUUCUCCCAUGGUUUUGCUCUCUGGGAAGCCAGACACUAAAGACUAAGACAUUCAAAAGCCAUUGCACAUGUGAGGAAAAUUAGAAAUUAAUCAUGUUUGUCCAGGGAAAGGCACAGACUUAGUAAAAACCUGAGAAGACCUUAAGUUGAUCCUUGGCACAUAGACAGCCUAAACAAUUAAAAAAAACAAAAACAAAAAAAACAAAUCAAUGACAAAAGGAAGAAAUCCCUGGGAAAGAGGGAGAAACUGAUUUACAGUAAUACACUGAUAGAUUCAAAUGUCUAGUUUUGGACAAAAAAUGAGAAAUACAAAGAACCAAGAAAGUAUGGCCUAUUCAAAGGAGGAAAAAAACCAACAACAACAGAAAAUAUCUCUGAAAAAUGACAUAAAACAGAUAUAUCAGACAAAGUCUGUAAAAUAUUUCUCUUAAAGAUGCUCAAAGAACUAAAGCAAGACAGGAAGAAAGUCAAAAAAAAUGUAUAAAUAAAGAGGAAGUAUCAAUAAGGUGACAACCUAAAAAAGAAAUUCUGGAAUUGAGAAGUACAAUAACUAAAAUAAAGAAUUGGCUAGAGGGAUUCAAAGCAAAUUUGAAGAGAAAUGAUAAAGAAUUAGUGAACUUGAAGAUAGGACAAUGGAAACUGAGUCUAAGAAUCAGAAAAAGAAAAAGACUACUGUGUCCAGUGCCUAAGGAACCUAUGGAAUGGCACCAAAGUGGCCGACACAUGUGUUGUGGAAGUUUCAAAAGGAAGAGAAAGGCAAAGGGGGAGAGAGAAUAUCAGAAGAAAUAGUGGCUGUAAAUUUCCCAAAUUUGAUGAAAGAUAUGAAUAUAAACAUCCAAGAAGUGUAAAGAAAUUCAAGGAAAAUGAAUUCCCCUCUCCUAAGUUCAGUGAAAGCCUUAAAAAGCAGUUGCCCACAGUCACAGCAGAAACAAGCAGCUCAGUAGCUUUCGGAAGGUGCAGAAAGUGACUGGAACCCUGGGAAAUGACAGUUUUUAUAUAACUGUCAUUAUGAGACCUUACUGGUAUUUCCCUGGAAAAAUCACAGUCACAAAGCCUCUCUUAUUUGCCCUGACUUAGAGUCACCCUACGGGAAUAGCCUUUCCCAAGGGUGUUUGUUGUUAAAAAUCAGCAGGAAAUAACUAAUACUGCAGCUGCCUGCAUAGGUGAUAACAACUGGGGAAACAAAGAGCUGGAAGAAAAAUCUGAAAAGGAAACAGUGGCGAGUGAGAGGUCCAUAGGGACUUUAGAAAAGCUCCGUGAUAAUCCUACCGAUCUAGAAGGCUCUACACACUAGUUGGGCUUUGCACAUGCCCAGGGCUGUAUACUUCUGAGUAAAAGCCUACGCAAGACCUCGGCUGUCACUUCUAGCUGCCCUUGAGGCUCUGCACAAGCAGGAAGUGAAAGCUAAGUCCGAAUGGUAAAACGGCAGACCUGAGAAUGGAAGGUGGAUCCCAGCAGGUACACAGAACCUCUCAACAAUAGCUGGAUUUUGGCAACUUAAGGAAUCCGUCUAAUCAUAUGAUAGGAAGAAAUGCUAUAAACUGCCACUUCACUAGUGAAUUCUACCAAACAAUUAAAGAAGAAUUAGCAUUAAUCUUUCAAAAAUUUCCAAAAGGAAAAAGAAAAAACUUCAACUUAUUUAUGAGGCCAAUGUUACCUUCAUAUCAAAGCCAAGCAAAGACAUCACCAGGAAAGAAACUAUAGACAGAAAUAUCUUCUGACUUACAAUAACCUUCAACACAGUACCAGUGAACUGAACCCAGCGAUGUAUAAAAUGGAUAUACCACAGCUUGGUGGUAUUUUCCUAAGAACGCAAAGUAGUUUGAACAUAGGAAAAUCCAUCAAUGUGAUUUUUCCUAUUAAUAAAGGACAGAAUGGUGUAAUUAUCUAAUAGAUGAAAACAGACAAAAUGCAACGCCCAUUUGCGAUUUGUAAAAAGUUAUUAUUUUGAACACACUGUUAUCUGUUGGGUAAAGGCAAGAGUAAGAAAACCAGAGGACUGCGUUUACGUUCUCCAAUGUUCUUCUUUUGUGCGAAUCUGAUCUCCUGACCUAACUUGUAUUCGUUGUUUUGGAACUUUUCUGACGUUUCUUACAAGAGAGGUCUAUUCACGACAAAUUGCCUCAAUUUUUGUUUUUCCCGAGGAAUAACUUCACUACAUACGUAUUUCUAGAUUGGUGGUUUUAUCCUUCCACACUUUAAAUAUUUUAAAUAUUUUAUUUCACCAUUUUUUGCUUACGUGAAUAUUAAAGACAGGACUGAUUUAAUUCUUACAUUUAGCAUUCUAUACAAGAGGUGUUUUUCCCCUAUGGAUUCUUUCAAGAUGUUCUUUUUUAUUUGGUUUUCUGGAGUUUAUAUACAGUAUUUCUAGGUGUAAAUUUUAAAAUUUACUGAAGUACUUAUCCUGAAGUUUCCACUGACAUAUCUUCAAGCUCACUGAGUCCUUCAUGAGCCAUGUCCUGUCUGCUACUGAACCCAUCAAAGGCAUUCUCCAUUUUCUGCUGUAUUGCUUCAUAUAUCUAGAAUUCUUUUUAUUGCUUUUUAUAGUUUCAAUCUUUCCAGUUGCAUUUGCCAUCUCUUCUUGUGAGUUGUUCACUUUUUCAUUAGAGCCCUUAGCAUAUUAGUCAUAAUUAAGUUCCUGUUCUGACAAUUCCAAAAUCCCUGCCAUAACUGGGCCUGGCAGUGAGGAUUGAUUUGUCUUUAAGUUCUGGUUUUUGUCUUUUAAUAUGUCUUGUAUUUUUUGGUGAAAGCCAGGCAUGAUGGUUGGAUUAAAGGAACUGAAGUAAAUAGACUUUUACUGUAAGGUUUUGUGUUUAUCUGGCCAUUAUUUAAACUGUGCUUACUCUUUGCUAUUCUAAAAUUCCCUUUUGUCUCCCCUGUCACCUUUGGGUUUCCCCAGAGACUUCUUCACUCAUACACAAGACAUGCCGUUCUUUCUAUUGCAUUCCCUUGGUAGCAGCUCCUGUGGCAAUUUCUGCUUCCAGGCUUCUGCUUCAGUGAUCUGCAGUUCUCUUGUCUGUCUGUCUCUCUACUCUUUCAGGAAGCAGCUUUUCCUGUGACCUCAGGUUUCUGACAGAUCUAAGAAGAGCUGUUGAUUUUCCAUUUGAUGAGCUUUUCCGUUGUGAGGAUGGAAGUGACAACUCUCAGAUUCUUACCUGCUGAAUCAGAAGAUCGAUGCUUUUUGAGUCCUCUCCAACAGAGAGGAUUAAUAAUUUAUAAAUCCCAAAUUUGAAUCCUAUCUAAAAAUCUUACAGUUAAAUCAAACUUUUUAGUAGUGAUUAGAGCACCUUCCCUUUUAAUGUACAUGCAGUUAUCAAGAGAGAAGAAAUGCAAGACUUUAAUCCUUGUCACUAUGAUUCAACUUAAUAUAUUCAAAUCAGCUUUUCUUACUUCUUUAUAACAUACUCAAAUAUUCUGUUUCCAUAGUAUCCUCAUUGUAAAAUCAUUUUAGGAAUAAUAGGAAAAAUAGGAAUAAUAAUUUAGGAAAAAUAGGAGAUGGGGUAUAAAUUUGUUAACAUUUUUAAAGAGAGGCCCAUAUAGUUGUUGUGUGAUAAUUUUUAAAUUUUUACAUACUUUGAAAUCCAUAUCUAAAUGACAUAAGUAAUAAAAAAUUUCAACCACAAAUGCACAAUGACAUACGUUCUAUUUCAAAGGUGACAAAAAUUGGAAGACAAAACUACCCUUGAAUAUAUGUGUAAGUGUAGCUGAUUUACUUUGCUGUGCAACUGAAAGUAACAGAACUUUGUAAGCCAACUAUACUCCAAUGAAAUUUAUAAAUUAAAAAAGAAAACUGCCCUUGAGUUAUUGAAAUGAUCAGCAUAUGUACCAUGUGACAUAGUUUAGGGGUACUUUAAUGAAAAUUACAAACUCACUCAAACCAUUUGGAGAGUCAAAAAUGACAGCUGUUUUAGUAUUUAUUUCUAGACUUUGGCAAUUACAGGUAAAUGAGUAUAUACAUUCCUUUCCUUAAACCCUUACAUUCAGAUAUUAUUUUACAAUGAAGGCAAGUUUUAGACUAAAUUCUGCCAAAUACAAAAACAUAUAUCAUCGAACAAAUUGAAAGAGGUCAUAUUGUACAUACAAUUCUUCUUACGCCCUCUGACUGUCACUCUGCAUGGAAGAGAGAUACCUUGGAAGCCUGCAAUGAUCGUUUGUUUUUUCUGUUGGAGGGCAGAGAUCUCUGUGAAGUGAAGGGCCUCUGAGUCCGUAUCUCAGCUUCUUGGUUGCUCUGAUAGAUGCUCAAACCUCAAUCAUGGAUAUAAUCUGGAAAGUAUUGAUACAUUCUUGCUCAUCUUUAAUAGUUUUAUAUUAUCAUUUUUCUAAUAACAUUUACUUCAGAUAUAACAUAUGGUUACUUGUUUAUGUCUUUAUUUUUAGUUUCCAGUGGACUGUAACAAAUAAAUCUCAUUCUGAUGCAGUUGAUUUCUGAUUAGAGCACAUCAACGCCUUGUCCAAUGGUCACUGGAGUAGAUUCAAUUUGAGCAAACACAUCAUUGUGCUUAUAAUGAGGUGUUUGAUAACUAGUCACUCUACAGAAGAUAUAAUUUGGAAUAGAUCUGCAUGAUAGAUGAGCAGAAGGGAGACACCAAUAAAGACAAACGAAGUGGAGCUGCCCAGGGCAGGUCCUGAAGUGAUGGGAUGACAUCUCUUACUGUCACUGCUGCUAUCACUCAAUAUGGUCACCAGUGCUGCUGGCACUGUUCCAGGCUGGCCCUUGGGAUCAUACUGUCCGUCACUGAGAUGUCGUCACUGAGCUGAGCGAGGGCGUGUCAUCCAUAGUCUCAUCUACUCCUGGCUGUCUCUAGUGCCCAUAAGAGUUGUUGGACCACAUUUACGCACCUGCCCAGGCAGAGCAAUGGCAAAAGUGUGACGCUCAGGUGGUUCCUAUAGGAGGAUAUGGGAUCUUCUCUGGGAAAAGGGAAGAUCAAGGUUUGAGAGUGGGUGAGACAAAGAGUGUUUGGACAGCGUCUUCCUCUAUUUUCUUCUCAAAUGGGAUUUUCAGCUAAGUAAAGUGGACUUCAUAUACUAGCUUUUGUAAUUACUUAGUAAAUGGUAAAGAGAAGGAAGCAUUUAAAAAAUAAAUUGGGAGUUUCUGUCGUGGUGCAGCGGAAAUGAAUCUGACU